rnacentral:rRNA from 1 species
CAGUCGAACGGGACUAUGCAAGAUGAAGUUUUCGGAUGGAAUUUUGUAUAGUUUAGUGGCGGACGGGUGAGUAACACGUGAGCAACCUGCCUUCGAGAGGGGAAUAACGGCUGGAAACGGUCGCUAAUACCGCAUAACAUACAGGAGGGACAUCCCUUUUGUAUCAAAGAUUUAUCGCUCGAAGAUGGGCUCGCGUCCGAUUAGGUAGUUGGUGAGGUAAUGGCCCACCAAGCCGACGAUCGGUAGCCGGACUGAGAGGUUGAACGGCCACAUUGGGACUGAGACACGGCCCAGACUCCUACGGGAGGCAGCAGUGGGGGAUAUUGCACAAUGGGGGAAACCCUGAUGCAGCGACGCCGCGUGUAGGAAGACGGUCCUCUGGAUUGUAAACUACUGUCCCCAGGGACGAAGAUGACGGUACCUGGGGAGGAAGCUCCGGCUAACUACGUGCCAGCAGCCGCGGUAAUACGUAGGGAGCGAGCGUUGUCCGGAAUUACUGGGUGUAAAGGGAGCGUAGGCGGGGAUGCAAGUUGGGUGUUAAAUCUACCGGCUCAACUGGUAGUCGCACUCAAAACUGCAGCUCUUGAGUGAAGUAGAGGCAGGCGGAAUUCCUAGUGUAGCGGUGAAAUGCGUAGAUAUUAGGAGGAACACCAGUGGCGAAGGCGGCCUGCUGGGCUUUUACUGACGCUGAGGCUCGAAAGUGUGGGGAGCAAACAGGAUUAGAUACCCUGGUAGUCCACACCGUAAACGAUGAUUACUAGGUGUGGGGGGUCUGACCCCCUC